UGAUGACGACCGGCGCACGGGUGCGUAACGCGUAUACAACCUACCUUUUAGCGGGGAAUAGCCCAGGGAAACUUGGAUUAAUGCCCCAUAGUAUAUAGACUUCUCCUGAAGUUUAUAUUAAACAUUUAUGGCUAUUAGAUGGGUAUGCGUCCUAUUAGUUAGUUGGUAAGGUAACGGCUUACCAAGGCAGCGAUAGGUAGGGGUCCUGAGAGGGAGAUCCCCACACUGGUACUGAGACACGGACCAGACUCCUACGGGAGGCAGCAGUGAGGAAUAUUGGACAAUGGGCGAGAGCCUGAUCCAGCCAUGCCGCGUGCAGGAAGACUGCCCUAUGGGUUGUAAACUGCUUUUACAGAGGAAGAACCACCCCCACGUGUGGGGGUUUGACGGUACUCUGCGAAUAAGGAUCGGCUAACUCCGUG
rnacentral:rRNA from 1 species